AGAACGAGUGCACUGAUAUAAACCCGUGAUGUGAAUUAAAACAUGGUGUUACUGUUACUAAAAAAGUGAAAUGCUAUUAUGAAAAAAUAUAAAAUAAAUCAACACCUUCUGAUACAACAGAUAUAAGCCUUUGGCGGCACUGUAGUAUAAUACAACACGAAUGAUUUACGAUUAUAGCAUUCUCAUGAAUUUCUUGCAACAACAAUGACGAAAACUUUCCAGCUGCUUCCCAGAGGGAGGUCAAAGUGUUCACGUGGAGUCAUUCACCCGUUUUAGUCUCGUUAUUGUACAUCUAUGAAUGAAAGCGCUGUCUGGGACUUCUUUUUUUUUUACGGAGGUAUUUGUCAUCCUGAGAGGCCUGGCACAGCAGCCUGGGAGAAUGGAGCGUUGCGGAGCCACGGUCUGCAGGAAGUAGUCAGGCUGGAGGGGGCUGCUGGGUAAUUCUCCCCCUGGGGCUCCUUGCACAGCUUCACUGACCUGCGCUCAUUCCAAUACACAGUGGAUCAGACUGAACAGGCAGCAUUACAGUGGAAGAGAUAAAAAAAAAGAGGGCCAGUGAAUUGAUUCCAGAUCCAUCCAACACAUUUCACAUUGCUCCGGGAAACGCAUUACGGCAUCGGCUUUGAUGUCAGACUCAAUGACCAAAUUUUAUUCCACAUGUGUGUUAAUUUUCUCCACUGUGAGUAAUGAGCUGAAGCAUAUUUUCCACAAGGGGCAGGACAGGACAUUGAAUAAUACUGGCUUUUUUACUCAACAGUGUAUGCGGCAACAGAGCAUGAAAAACCAAUGAAGGCAGCAUAUACAGACCUGAAACUUCCACACCCAGACUUUCUAUAAGCCAAGGAGAUUCAGUGGUGCGUUAAACAGUUAUGUUGGCAAGAAAAAACCUGCAUCCACUAGAUAUGGAAUCGUGACAUAAGCGUGAAGCACGGGUCCUUGGUGUGUGAGGGAAAAAAAAUGCUUAUCAGUCAUAACAUCCAGCUGCUAAAGCAAUUCACCCCAAAACACAGGGUAUAAAGAAAAAGUGCAGCUUGGCAUGUUACCAAGAAGAAGUGUUCAAGGCCAUUGGAGACUCCUUUCAAACAUGGCAAUUAAAUGUCUCCUCACAAAAAACCCUUCACAAUACAAACAUUUACACAUGUAGCUACUAUAGAAAUGAUUACAAACUAUUUCAGAGCUGCUGUUAUAAAAAAUAACAACACCUUCUUUGCACUUACAUUACAUUGUCAUUGUUUCCUUGUUUUUUGAUCUUUAUUAUACUGUAUAUACUGUGGGUUUGCCCUCUGGCUGUAAUGUAUGAACAUAAAUUAUACAUAAACUUGUACAAACAAAUACAUUAUACAGUGCCAUUCACAGCUGCUAUGCAACAGAUAGAUGUGGACAAUGAAGGCACAGACAACACUUUAUUGUUAUUUUGCUAGGAAUAAGGACUGUGAAUUAGUUAGUUAGUAAAUAGCUGUUUGUUCUUUUAAAGGGACAGUGCAAAGUCCAGUCACCGUGGUAACAACAUAAAAAAUAACGGCAAUAUUAAUAUUUUCCUGAUGCAUUGGUCAAUUCCUAAUGCAAGUAUCUACAUGACUAAAAUUACAUUGUAAUGAAUGUAAAACAUUCAUGGAUUGCUUCAUACUGAGAAAUGUAAAUUUUCUGAGAGUACAUGGUAUCUUUUAAUUAUAUUCAUUUGUCUAGAUUGUACCUGCCUGA